rnacentral:rRNA from 1 species
UCUCCAGACUCCUACGGGAGGCAGCAGUGGGGAAUAUUGCACAAUGGGGGGAACCCUGAUGCAGCGACGCCGCGUGGGUGAAGGAGGAUUUCGGUCUGUAAAGCCCUAUCAGCAGGGAAGAACAAUGACGGUACCUGACUAAGAAGCACCGGCUAAAUACGUGCCAGCAGCCGCGGUAAUACGUAUGGUGCAAGCGUUAUCCGGAUUUACUGGGCGUAAAGCGCUCGUAGGCGGUAUGUCAAGUCAAGGGUGAAAUCCCCGCGCUCAACGUGGGAACUGCCUUUGAAACUGGCAAACUGGAGUGUGUGAGAGGAUAGUGGAAUUCCAGGUGUAGGAGUGAAAUCCGUAGAUAUCUGGAGGAACAUCAGUGGCGAAGGCGACUAUCUGGCACAUAACUGACGCUGAGGAGCGAAAGCGUGGGUAGCAAACAGGAUUAGAUACCCCCGUACA